GGUGAACGCUGGCGGCGUGCCUAAUACAUGCAAGUCGAGCGAACGGACGAGAAGCUUGCUUCUCUGAUGUUAGCGGCGGACGGGUGAGUAACACGUGGAUAACCUACCUAUAAGACUGGGAUAACUUCGGGAAACCGGAGCUAAUACCGGAUGAUAUUUUGAACCGCAUGGUUCAAAAGUGAAAGACGGUCUUGCUGUCACUUAUAGAUGGAUCCGCGCUGCAUUAGCUAGUUGGUAAGGUAACGGCUUACCAAGGCAACGAUGCAUAGCCGACCUGAGAGGGUGAUCGGCCACACCGGAACUGAGACACGGUCCAGACUCCUACGGGAGGCAGCAGUAGGGAAUCUUCCGCAAUGGGCGAAAGCCUGACGGAGCAACGCCGCGUGAGUGAUGAAGGUCUUCGGAUCGUAAAACUCUGUUAUUAGGGAAGAACAUAUGUGUAAGUAACUGUGCACAUCUUGACGGUACCUAAUCAGAAAGCCACGGCUAACUACGUG
rnacentral:rRNA from 1 species